rnacentral:rRNA from 1 species
AUUGAACGCUGGCGGCAGGCCUAACACAUGCAUGUCGAACGAGUGGCGGACGGGUGUGUCAUGUCUGGGAAACUGCUCGAUGGAGGGGGAUAACUACUGGAAACGGUAGCUAUUACCGCAUACCAUCGGAUGUGCCCCGAUGGGCUUAGCUAGUCGGGGGGGUAACGGGUCACCUAGGCGACGAUCCCUAGCUGGUCUGAGCGGAUGACCAGCCACACUGGAACGGAGACACGGUCCAGAAUCCUACGGGAGGCAGCAGUGGGGAAUAUUGCACAAUGGGCGCAAGCCUGAUGCAGCCAUGCCGCGUGUAUGAAGAAGGCCUUCGGGUUGUAAAGUACUUUCAGCGAGGAAGCGUUACUCGCAGAAGAAGCACCGGCUAACUCCGUGCCAGCAGCCGCGGUAAUUC